AGUGAACGCUGGCGGUAGGCCUAACACAUGCAAGUCGAACGGCAGCACAGUAAGAGCUUGCUCUUACGGGUGGCGAGUGGCGGACGGGUGAGGAAUACAUCGGAAUCUACUUUUUCGUGGGGGAUAACGUAGGGAAACUUACGCUAAUACCGCAUACGACCUACGGGUGAAAGCAGGGGAUCUUCGGACCUUGCGCGAUUGAAUGAGCCGAUGUCGGAUUAGCUAGUUGGCGGGGUAAAGGCCCACCAAGGCGACGAUCCGUAGCUGGUCUGAGAGGAUGAUCAGCCACACUGGAACUGAGACACGGUCCAGACUCCUACGGGAGGCAGCAGUGGGGAAUAUUGGACAAUGGGCGCAAGCCUGAUCCAGCCGUACCGCGUGGGUGAAGAAGGCCUUCGGGUUGUAAAGCCCUUUUGUUGGGAAGGAAAAGCAGCAGGUUAAUACCCCGCUGUCCUGACGGUACCCAAAGAAUAAGCACCGGCUAACUUCGUG
rnacentral:rRNA from 1 species